rnacentral:lncRNA from 1 species
CACACCGGCAGCAGCACAGGAAGGGGGCAGAGGGCUCACAGAGCCUCAGGGCCAUGACUGAGGCUGGCAGCCCAGAUGGAAGCACAGCCUCCACUUGUCAUAAGGGUCGGACUCAUUCUCCCUUCCAGGGCAAGUGUAUUCCGUGUUCGAAGUCUCUGCAAUGAGAGGCUCCCACCAAUUGUUCCUCUGAAGCCACCUCUCAGGAUUCUUCUGCACACUGAUGUCAGAGACAUUUUGAGAUGCCACCUUGCUUUAUGUCCUCC